rnacentral:rRNA from 1 species
UACGUAGGGGGCAAGCGUUGUCCGGAAUCAUUGGGCGUAAAGCGCGUGUAGGCGGCUCAGUAAGUCCGCUCUGAAAGCCCGGGGCUCAACCCCGGGAGGCGGGUGGAUACUGCUGAGCUCGAGUCCGGAAGAGGAGUGUGGAAUUCCUGGUGUAGCGGUGAAAUGCGCAGAUAUCAGGAGGAACACCCAUUGCGAAGGCAGCUCGCUGGGACGUUACUGACGCUGAGACGCGAAAGCCAGGGGAGCAAACGGG